CCGAGUUCACAACUCCCAAACCCCUGUGAACAUACCUACUGUUGCCUCGGCGGAUCAGCCCGCGCCCGUAAAACGGGACGGCCCGCCAGAGGACCCCUAAACUCUGUUUCUAUAGUGGAACUUCUGAGUAAAACCAUAAAUAAAUCA
rnacentral:misc_RNA from 1 species